rnacentral:rRNA from 1 species
UACGAAGGGGGCUAGCGUUGCCCGGAAUUACUGGGCGUAAAGCGCACGUAGGCGGCUUUGUAAGUUAGAGGUGAAAGCCCAGGGCUCAACCCUGGAAUUGCCUUUAAGACUGCAUCGCUUGAACAUCGGAGAGGUAAGUGGAAUUCCGAGUGUAGAGGUGAAAUUCGUAGAUAUUCGGAAGAACACCAGUGGCGAAGGCGACUUACUGGACGAUUGUUGACGCUGAGGUGCGAAAGCGUGGGGAGCAAACAGG